rnacentral:rRNA from 1 species
UACGAAGGGGGCUAGCGUUGCUCGGAAUGACUGGGCGUAAAGCGCACGUAGGCGGCUUUCUAAGUUGGGGGUGAAAUCCUGGAGCUCAACUCCAGAACUGCCUUCGAUACUGGAGAGCUUGAGUCCGGGAGAGGUGAGUGGAACUGCGAGUGUAGAGGUGAAAUUCGUAGAUAUUCGCAAGAACACCAGUGGCGAAGGCGGCUCACUGGCCCGGUACUGACGCUGAGGUGCGAAAGCGUGGGGAGCAAACAGG